rnacentral:rRNA from 1 species
GCAAGUCGAGGGGUAUAUUUCUUCGGAGUAUACGAGACCGGCGCACGGGUGCGUAACGCGUAUGCAAUCUACCUUUUACAGAGGGAUAGCCCAGAGAAAUUUGGAUUAAUACCUCAUAGUAUAUCACAAUCGCAUGAUUGAGUUAUUAAAGUCACAACGGUAAAAGAUGAGCAUGCGUCCCAUUAGCUAGUUGGUAAGGUAACGGCUUACCAAGGCUACGAUGGGUAGGGGUCCUGAGAGGGAGAUCCCCCACACUGGUACUGAGACACGGACCAGACUCCUACGGGAGGCAGCAGUGAGGAAUAUUGGACAAUGGGCGCAAGCCUGAUCCAGCCAUGCCGCGUGCAGGAUGACGGUCCUAUGGAUUGUAAACUGCUUUUAUACGAGAAGAAACACUCCUUCGUGAAGGAGCUUGACGGUAUCGUAAGAAUAAGGAUCGGCUAACUCCGUGCCAGCAGCCGCGGUAAUACGGAGGAUCCAAGCGUUAUCCGGAAUCAUUGGGUUUAAAGGGUCCGUAGGCGGUUUGGUAAGUCAGUGGUGAAAGCCCAUCGCUCAACGGUGGAACGGCCAUUGAUACUGCCAGACUUGAAUUAUUAGGAAGUAACUAGAAUAUGUAGUGUAGCGGUGAAAUGCUUAGAGAUUACAUGGAAUACCAAUUGCGAAGGCAGGUUACUACUAAUUGAUUGACGCUGAUGGACGAAAGCGUGGGUAGCGAACAGGAUUAGAUACCCUGGUAGUCCACGCCGUAAACGAUGGAUACUAGCUGUUGCGAGCAAUCUCAGUGGCUAAGCGAAAGUGAUAAGUAUCCCACCUGGGGAGUACGUUCGCAAGAAUGAAACUCAAAGGAAUUGACGGGAGCCCGCACAAGCGGUGGAGCAUGUGGUUUAAUUCGAUGAUACGCGAGGAACCUUACCAAGGCUUAAAUGU